rnacentral:rRNA from 1 species
UACGUAGGGUGCAAGCGUUGUCCGGAAUUAUUGGGCGUAAAGAGCUCGUAGGCGGUCUGUCGCGUCUGCUGUGAAAACUCAGGGCUUAACCCUGAGCUUGCAGUGGGUACGGGCAGACUAGAGUGCGGUAGGGGAGACUGGAAUUCCUGGUGUAGCGGUGGAAUGCGCAGAUAUCAGGAGGAACACCAAUGGCGAAGGCGGCUACCUGGACCGGUUCUGACGCUGAUGGCGCGAAAG